GGGGUUGUUGGUCAGUGGUAGAGCGCCUGCCUAGCAUGUAUGAGGCAUUGGGUUCAAUCCUCAGCACCACA
rnacentral:tRNA from 1 species